CUGCGAGUUCGCGGGAGAGUAAGUUAUUGCCAGGGUUUUUAUUUUAUACUUUAAACCUUGAAUUUAUUUUUUAAACGUUUAUAUUAUUUGAAUAAAACAUUCAAAUAAUAUAAAAAAUAAUAUAUAUAUUGACAUGGAUUAAACAAAGAUAUAUAUUAUUCUAUGUUGUAUGAACAAAUUGGCAAAAUAGAGAUGGAAGAUAAAAAUAUGGUCAAAGUAAUAAGAGUCUAUGGUGAAUGCCUAGGA
rnacentral:misc_RNA from 1 species